rnacentral:rRNA from 1 species
AAAGAAACCAACAGGGAUUGCCUCAGUAACGGCGAGUGAAGCGGCAAGAGCUCAAAUUUGAAAUCUGGCCCCUCCGGGGUCCGAGUUGUAAUUUGUAGAGGAUGCUUCGGGUGCGGCCCCCGUCUAAGUGCUCUGGAACGGGCCAUCGGAGAGGGUGAGAAUCCCGUCUGGGACGGGGUGUCCGCGUCCAUGUGAAGCUCCUUCGACGAGUCGAGUUGUUUGGGAAUGCAGCUCUAAAUGGGUGGUAAAUUUCAUCUAAAGCUAAAUACUGGCCGGAGACCGAUAGCGCACAAGUAGAGUGAUCGAAAGAUGAAAAGCACUUUGAAAAGAGAGUUAAACAGCACGUGAAAUUGUUGAAAGGGAAGCGCUUGCGACCAGACUCGCUUCCGGGGUUCAAGCCGGCUUUCGGGCCGGUGUACUUCCCCGGGGGCGGGCCAGCGUCGGUUUGGGCGGCCGGUCAAAGGCCCCUGGAAUGUAACGCCCCUCGGGGCGCCUUAUAGCCAGGGGUGUCAUGCGGCCAGCCUGGACCGAGGAACGCGCUUCGGCACGGACGCUGGCAUAAUGGUCGUAAACGAC